rnacentral:rRNA from 1 species
UACGUAGGGACCAAGCGUUGUUCGGAUUUACUGGGCGUAAAGGGCGCGUAGGCGGCGCGGUAAGUCACUUGUGAAAUCUCUGAGCUUAACUCAGAACGGCCAAGUGAUACUGCAGUGCUAGAGUGUGGAAGGGGCAAUCGGAAUUCUUGGUGUAGCGGUGAAAUGCGUAGAUAUCAAGAGGAACGCCUGAGGUGAAGACGGGUUGCUGGGCCAACACUGACGCUGAGGCGCGAAAGCCAGGGGAGCAAACGGG